GGCUUCCAAACAACCCCUUCUCUAAAGACCACUUCUCCACGCUGCCGCCAACGCGUCUGCCAAACUCCAUACGGGAACUUAACCCAACAACAUACAAAAUGUGCCCAAACACCGAUCAAGCCACUAGGUUCGACACUACACUGGUAACACCAACACUAAAAUGCUCUUUUCUUCACCCAAAACUCACCUACCGAUCACCCAAACCCCCCUAGUGACUACCAGGAGUGCGCCUCCACACAGUUCUUCGUGCGGAUACCGAUUGCUAGCGUCAUCAAGCUUCAUGAUGCCUUCGGGUACCUAAUGGCUGAUCUCUUCCCUUCCCCUUUCUUAUGGCCACGAGCGAACGAACGAACGAACAAACGAACGCACGAGCUCGAUACCAACCCUCUCAUUACAUUCUAAUUCUAUGCGGUCGAUUACUAUUCAAGGUGUGGAGAGAGACAGAAAUAUCGUUAUUUAAACGUGUGCUGAAAAUAGUUUGUGAAUGAAGAUGUUUUCAAUGAGACAAGAUCUGAGAGAUACAAAAAUAUUUAUGGGCCAACUGAAAAUGAAUUUACAAAGUCAACAACGAUUCGCUGUAAAUCCGAAYACGAUUGUUAUUCGUUCGUGUGCAACUAUAUAUUAGACACAUCAAAGCAUGGUAAAUCCUCGUCUAUAUAUUCAUGAAUAGUUUCGGGAGACCAGGUAAUACAAUUCGUCUGUUCGAUAUUGUCACUUUCGACACAAGAAAUCAGUUGGCGGUCAAACUCUUCGCUGCCGCUGCUGUCACAUGUCACAGACUUKACAGCCAAGUCAUUUUUAUUUGAAUUGACAGACGAAGACAUGCUGGGUGAGAAAAACACUCUUGAUGGGCUACUAACAUCCUUUCUGUGGAGAUCCAUCCACAGAGACAGGAACGCUGGUAUCCUGUGAAAGACUUUGCAUGCCAUUCGUAAUACCAGUAGAUAGCUGCUCCGGUAUUUUGUCAUUCACGUCAUUGCUGUUUUCAGUCGAUGAAAGCUUGGGUAAUACCACAUCAACAUCAUCAUCAGCCGAUGGAGAUUCGAGCAAGAAAUCAAAACUUGUCUGCGAACAACUGUCUUGGAUUUCGUUAUCAAUUGAUGGAGAUGGGGGCAAAACAUUACCAUGCUGGAAUUUUGGAACAUCUUUCAUAUCAUUCACAGGAUAUUGGUGGUCAGUGGUAACCUGUGAAGGGACGUCGAUAUCAUCUAAAAUUGUAAUUCAUAAAAAUUGUCAACUUGGAGACAGGAUUGAAACGUAACAAACAAUGUUGAUCUGGUACUUCCAUCAUCAAGGUGCAUCCACCUGACCUGAAGUCUCKAUUGCUUAACACUGUUUAUCGAGUCCAAUCAUAUAAUUUCGUGAAGAGAAAUYAUAUUAGCUGUGUCAGAGGUUGUGGAAAAAACUGGGUGGAGUUACCAUUAGAGGACAUAUUUACAGGAUGGUGUCGAUUUCGUCAUCUAAAACAUAUUUUCCUCCUCAACCUCGGAAUGGCUGUUAAUUUUCCAGAGCCACUGACGAAGUAAUUUACCUUACCUUUUUGCCAAGAACUCUUGAAAUGCUCGUCUAAAACCACACCAUCAGGUUGAGCUGUAUCAGAAACAUUACAAACUCAAAUUAAAAACGCAACUUUCCAUCAGGAACGAACAUUGAAAAGAAAAGGCAAUUUAUUGGGUUACGAUAGGGAUUUGCUCACCUCUACAUUCCUCGAUGACAUUCCUCCACAACUCAUUACUGGAUAGCAUGCGUUUAUUACCAAUAAUUAGUAAAUGUCUAGAGAAUGUAAUAAAAAGAGCAUUGGUCGAGAACCUCGUGCAUAAUCAAUGGGAUAUUUGUUGCGAGCCUCAGUAAGAAGUGGUUUUUAUAAACCCAUGAAACAAAGUGUACUAAUCGGAUAAACACAAUAGAAAACAAAAGAAUUAAAGUGUAAUAGUACUAAAUAAGGUAAAGUAUAUUUCACGGGUUUUUGAAAACAACUCUAUACCAUGACGAUGAAAAUUAUUACUCAUGAUGUUGAUAGUGGUGAUGUCAAUAAUCGUGGUGGUGAUGGUGUUGAUAGUG